rnacentral:rRNA from 1 species
AUUGAACGCUGGCGGCAGGCCUAACACAUGCAAGUCGAGCGGAGCGGCGGACGGGUGAGUAAUGCCUAGGAAUCUGCCUGGGAGUGGGGGAUAACGUCCGGAAACGGGCGCUAAUACCGCAUACUAUCAGAUGAGCCUAGGUAGGAUGAGCUAGUUGGUGGGGAAAAGGCCUACCAAGGCGACGCUCCGGAAAUGGUCUGCGGGGAUGAUCAUGCAAACUGGAACUGAGACACGGUACAGUCUCCUACGGGAGGCAGCAGUGGGGAAUAUUGGACAAUGGGCGAAAGGCUUAUCCAGCCCUGCCGCGUGUGUGAAGAGGGUUUUCGGAUUGUAAAGCACUUUAAGUUUGGAGGCGUUACCAACAGAAUAAGCACCGGCUAACUUCGUGCCAGCAGCCGCGGUAAUAC